rnacentral:rRNA from 1 species
ACCCCGCUGAAUUUAAGCAUAUAAGUAAGCGGAGGAAAAGAAACUAAACAGGAUUCCCACAGUAAUGGCGAAUGAACAGGGAUAAGCUCAGCCUGGAAAUCGGGGCCCAUGGCCUUGACUUGUAGUCUUGCGAUGUACUGCCAACGGAGGCGCAGGUGUAAGCCUCUUGGAAAAGAGCAUCAAUGAGGGUGAGAGUCCCCCUUGCCAUCUGUAGUUCCCCGUGUACGGUGUGCUGUCCAAGAGUCACGCUCCUCGGGAUUGGAGCGCAAAGUGGGUGGUAAAUUUCAUCUAAAGCUGAAUAUUGGUCCGAGACCGAUAGCAAACAAGUACCAUGAGGGAAAGGUGAAAAGGACUUUGAAAAGAGAGUUAAAAGUGCCUGAAAUUGCUGAAAGGGAAGCGAACGGAACCAGUGCGUCUUGGUGAGAUUGUUGCGUGCCAUUGCAAGAGCUUGCUGCUUCAGUGAGAGCGUGGCAGUAGGUUUUGAACAGGACGCUCGCAGUGCUUCUUGCCUUGCAUGUCAGCUCCAGUUCACAGCUGAGGAAAACCUCGGGGAUAUGGUAGCUUGCCUCUGGGCGGGUGAAUGUGCCAGGUGGACUCAAGUGUGUACUGCUUGCUGACUACAUGGUUUUCUUCGACCCGUCUUGAAACACGGACCAAGGAGUCUAACAUAUGUGCGAGCUCACGGGUGGUAAACCUGCUUGCGGAAUGAAAGUGACUGCUGGGAGCUUUGCACCAGCAACCGACCAAUUUAUUGAGAGAGGUUUGAGUAUGAGCAUAUCUGUUAGGACCCGAAAGAUGGUGAACUAUGCCUGUGAAGGGUAAACUCAGGGGAAACUCUGAUGGAGGCUCGUAGCGAUACUGACGUGCAAAUCGUUCGUCAUACAUGGGUAUAGGGGCGAAAGACUAAUCGAACCAUCUAGUAGCUGGUUCCCUCCGAAGUUU